UCUAUAGCCAGUACACCAAAGAGCCUGUUUGCCAGCUAACAUAGGUGAGCUGUACAUUGAUGGUAGCUCUUCAAAAGUGUAUGAAUGUAAUGGAGAAACUUGGAUAGACUGGCAAUUAUCGCAAGAAGAAGAUGCUGUUAAGCAGGCUUGUGAGAAAGGUUGGUCUAAUUAUAAUGGAAAAUGUUAUUACCUGUCAGAUGAUAAGAAAACGUGGAAUGAAGCUCAGAGAUUCUGCAGAGAACAAUUUAAUGGCAACUUGAUAACAGUAAAUUCCAUAGAGCAUCAGAAGUGGAUUCAAACAUUAAUUAGUGGAUAUGACAUCUGGAUUGGUAAGGACUUCAAUUUAUUACCCAUAACUGUGUGAGUUACCCCGCAAAUGUGC